rnacentral:rRNA from 1 species
UACGUAGGGUGCGAGCGUUGUCCGGAUUUAUUGGGCGUAAAGAGCUCGUAGGCGGCUUGUCGCGUCGGAUGUGAAAGCCCGGGGCUUAACUCCGGGUCUGCAUUCGAUACGGGCAGGCUAGAGUGUGGUAGGGGAGAUCGGAAUUCCUGGUGUAGCGGUGGAAUGCGCAGAUAUCAGGAGGAACACCAAUGGCGAAGGCAGAUCUCUGGGCCGUAACUGACGCUGAGGAGCGAAAGCAUGGGGAGCGAACAGG